rnacentral:misc_RNA from 1 species
UGGCUCUCGCAUCGAUGAAGAACGCAGCGAAACGCGAUAUGUAAUGUGAAUUGCAGAAUUCAGUGAAUCAUCGAAUCUUUGAACGCAUAUUGCACUCUCUGGUAUUCCGGAGAGUAUGCCUGUUUCAGUAUCAUUAAAAUCAACUCAAAUUAAUUUUCAAUUAAUUUGGAUGUGAGCAAAUUUUUUUGCUAAUUUUUAAAAUUAGCUUGCUCUAAAUAGAAAAAAGUAGGAUUCAGUUUUUUUUAAAAAGGGUGAAAAAGCGAUAUUAGUUUGCUUCUGCAAUCUUUCGCUAAAAAAAAGCCCAACUGAACUUAUUUUUAAUUGCAGGAAAAAAAGAAAAAAAAUUUUUUUUUUUUAAACUUGAUCUGAAAUCAGGUAGGAUUACCCGCUGA